UGAAAGCGUGUGUAAUCGGUAUAGCCCAAAGCCAAAGGUUGGCCCAGUGGGUGCAGCCAGGUUAGGCUACAUAAACCGCUCCAGUUUAUGAAUUCUUUGAUAAACUAGCUCAGCCGUGGGCCUGCUCAGCUGUGCCUCGUGAGGAAGUCUGCACACUCCGUCUCAUGGCCUUCAGGAUCGUGUGACCCGUGGAGGGACGAAUCGAGAUGUGUCAGCCUGCUUCACCUAACCUUGCCUUGUUGUACGACCAUGUUUUCGUCAAGGUGUCAGGGCAGCUACAUUUGGUGCGUCCAGCGAUCAUGGCUGCCUGGAGCAGCUAGGACUUGGCACUGCAGUAUUCCUCAGUCGGCACAGCUGCAGCAAGAUUACAACUAGCAGCGCUCGUCUUCUACUCCACCGAUGCAGGAAGCUGUGCUCCUACAACAGUGUAAACAUGGGUCAUAAGCAUUACAGUGUCCUGCAAAGAUAUCAGCCUCCCAGACGCAAGCAUAAACUCCAAAAUAACAGCGUCAGUUCAUAGGCACUAUAUGGGAACACGGGGAGCGUGUGAAGGCUCUGAUCCCGCAAGUGCUGCGGCAGUACAGGUUGCAGCGGAGUGGAAAGGGAGAUGGUUGGAGUUUAACCUUCUGCCAUCUGUGUGCAAUUGAUAACUGUGUGUCAGCCACCGGGGAAGUGUGCUUCACAGCCACAUCUAUUUCUUCAUUCCUUUCACGCUGAGAAAUACCCUGUAUCCACCAUACAUUGAACCACGGGCCACAACCUGCUCUCCAUUCACUGUGCCCUUUACUCUCAGCAAACUUCCUGGUCUUCUUGCAGGAUGGGUUUUGAUGGGACAGAGUGGUCCAUUCCAGGUAGGUGGAUACCUUUCGUCAUCAACCUUCUUCCACGGCAUGGAAUUGACUAUACAGUGAGACGGAAAGUGACACCAGGCUGCUGUCUUUGAUCAAUACCCAUCUUCUUUCACUGCACACUUUCCAUUGAUCAAUAGUUAUCUAAAUAUAGGCGCACUGGCCUUGGCCUAAUAUUGACUCUCUUCUGCCUAAACUAGCCAAAGCACUGUGUCAGUUUACUUUUUCUUGUGUUAACUAGCUGUCAAAGAACUAAAAACCAUAUAGCCCGUAUGAAGCACAACAUGAGUGUUUUUGAUUCCUUUUUCUUUUAAUGAAGACGUCUCACUGAUAUUAAUGUUCCCCAUAAAGAAGCUUUC